rnacentral:rRNA from 1 species
GACGAACGCUGGCGGCGUGGAUUAGGCAUGCAAGUCGAACGGUAUCAUCCUUUCGGGGGUGAGAGAGUGGCGAACUGGUGAGUAACACGUAGGUUAUCUACCCUCAAGACGGGGACAACCCAGGGAAACUUGGGCUAAUACCGGAUGUGAGCAACUUUUAGUUGUUUGAAAGGUGGCGUAAGCUGUCGCUUGGGGAUGAGCCUGCGUCCUAUUAGUUAGUUGGUGAGGUAACGGCUCACCUAGGCAAUGAUAGGUAGGCGGCCUUAACGGGUGGUCGCCCACACUGGGAUUGAGAUACGGCCCAGACUCCUACGGGAGGCAGCAGUCGAGAAUAGUCUACAAUGGUCGGAAGACUGAUAGUGCGACGCCGCGUGAACGAUGAAUCCCUUCGGGGUGUAAAGUUCUUUUAUAUGUGAGCAGUGCCUCUUAUAUUAACAGUAUGGGGAGAGAGAUAUUAGCAUAUGAAUAAGCAACGGCUAACUCCGUGCCAGCAGCCGCGGUAAACG